rnacentral:lncRNA from 1 species
CUUGAGAGAGCAGCCAAGGAAGUGAGAGACGGGAAGAAGUCCAUUAGAGCAGGAGCAAGAGAGGAAAAAAUAGUCUGAAUGAUACAUUGACAAAAAAGAUUAUGAACAUGGACCUAUGUGAAAGAGAAGCAAUAAUAGAGUAGCAGAGGCACACAAGGUCUCAUCUGAUGACAUGGAGUCUUAACUUACUAAACAUAUCAAGAUGGACCAGUUUGGACCAGUUUCAUGGUCUUAGUAGCCUCAAAUGCAGAGAACUUACCUACGAAUUUGCACAUCAAAACAGCAUCCCUGUCCCAGAGCACUGUUCAAGAAAUGGAAAGACUGUGUACUCUCUGAAGUAACCAGAAAUACCGGAUAUACUGUACAUGGAUGAAAGACGCAAACAGGUUCCGGCGAGCAGCUUGAUUUAAGACCAGAGCUAGAGCUGGAGCUGGGAUGGAUGCCUCCCCCUGUCAUCAAUGGAGGCCAAUGCAGCCAGUUAAUCUGGGUCCUUGGAUCAGAACAGGAAAUCUGCUUUUCCUGUAAAGGGGGACUUUACAAAGACAGACCAUGC